GUGCCAGCAGCCGCGGUAAUACGAAGGGUGCAAGCGUUACUCGGAAUUACUGGGCGUAAAGCGUGCGUAGGUGGUGGUUUAAGUCAGAUGUGAAAGCCCUGGGCUCAACCUGGGAACUGCAUUUGAUACUGGAUCACUAGAGUGCGGUAGAGGAUAGUGGAAUUCCCGGUGUAGCAGUGAAAUGCGUAGAGAUCGGGAGGAACACCAGUGGCGAAGGCGACUAUCUGGACCAGCACUGACACUGAGGCACGAAAGCGUGGGGAGCAAACAGGAUUAGAUACCCUGGUAGUCCACGCCCUAAACGAUGCGAACUGGAUGUUGGGAGCAACUUGGCUCUCAGUAUCGAAGCUAACGCGUUAAGUUCGCCGCCUGGGGAGUACGGUCGCAAGACUGAAACUCAAAUGAAUUGACGG
rnacentral:rRNA from 1 species